rnacentral:rRNA from 1 species
UAGGGAAUUUUCCACAAUGGACGAAAGUCUGAUGGAGCAACGCCGCGUGCAGGACGAAGGCUUUUGGGUCGUAAACUGCUUUUAUCUGUGACGAUUAUGACGGUAGCAGAUGAAUAAGGAUCGGCUAACUCCGUGCCAGCAGCCGCGGUCAUACGGAGGAUCCAAGCGUUAUCCGGAAUUACUGGGCGUAAAGAGUUGUGUAGGUGGCAAAGUAAGUGAGUAAUGAAAUCAUGCGGCUCAACCGCAUUCC